UUUGAAAUCUGGCUCUUUCAGAGUCCGAGUUGUAAUUUGAAGAAGGUAUCUUUGGGUCUGGCUCUUGUCUAUGUUUCUUGGAACAGAACGUCACAGAGGGUGAGAAUCCCGUGCGAUGAGAUGAUCCAGGCCUAUGUAAAGUUCCUUCGAAGAGUCGAGUUGUUUGGGAAUGCAGCUCUAAGUGGGUGGUAAAUUCCAUCUAAAGCUAAAUAUUGGCGAGAGACCGAUAGCGAACAAGUACAGUGAUGGAAAGAUGAAAAGAACUUUGAAAAGAGAGUGAAAAAGUACGUGAAAUUGUUGAAAGGGAAGGGCUUGAGAUCAGACUUGGUAUUUUGUAUGUUACUUCUUCGGGGGUGGCCUCUACAGUUUAUCGGGCCAGCAUCAGUUUGGGCGGUAGGAGAAUUGCGUUGGAAUGUGGCACGGCUUCGGUUGUGUGUUAUAGCCUUCGUCGAUACUGCCAGCCUAGACUGAGGACUGCGGUUUAUACCUAGGAUGUUGGCAUAAUGAUCUU
rnacentral:rRNA from 1 species